AACAUCGCGCACCUGCGGGAACCUGCGGAGGGAUCAUUACUGAGACUUUAAUCUCAACCCUUGUGAACUAUACUAGUGUUGCUUCGGCAGGUUUUCCCUGGGAGGGAAAUGGCUAAGGCCUAUCAGGACCUGCCAGAGGCAUUUUACUCUUGAUUUUAGUGGAUUUCUGAGUGCAAAAACAAAACAAAAACUUUCAACAACGGAUCU
rnacentral:misc_RNA from 1 species